AUUGUGGUGGUUGGUCAUGUGGACCCUGAGGAGGCAACCACCAUUAACGAGCUGAAGAAGCCUGUUGUGGAGAAAGAAGCUCCAGGGCAUGCCAUAUGAGGGCAUGCACGCACGGCCUCGGAGGGGAACCAGAAAAUUAUGUUAACAAAAUAAUCUGGAACCCUAAUGUAUCAGUGUCAUCAUCAGUGUGUAGUUUAAGCUAGCUUUGCUAUGGUUACGUUCUCUGAGAUGAGAGUCUUGAUGAACAGUGCCAUUCUGAUGUAUUGCUUUCCUUGAAAGUUAAUGCAUGCUUCUUAUCUUCUGUCUAUAGCUAUAUGCUUUCUUUUUCUUUUUCUUUUUUGUUAAUCAGAACAUUUGCAACUUCACUCCUUAGUAUAUAAUAGUUAUCCAUACAAAAAGAAAUAUUAUUUAAGGACAUACUGAAACAUAAAUAUUACACUUUUUAGCAUCCAUAAAAAAAAAUUGAACGAGGAGGGUUAAAAAUAUAUUUUUAACAUUUUUUUAAUAUAUUCUUUGUUAUUGAUUGAAUUUAAAAAAAAUAUAAAAUUAGCUAGAGAGAAAAUUAUUAAAUAAAAUAUAACCUUAAAAAUUUAUAAUAUUUAAUAAAUUUUAAUCAAUUAAAAAGAACACUCCUCCAGACUUAAGAUUUUGUAUGGAUUAAUUCACUAGUAAGUACAUCAUUAAGAUUCAUUCGAUUCAAUGCAGCGGACAAGGGAAAUAAAAGAAAAUACUAUAUGUGGGUUUUUUUACUACAAGAAAUAUUAUCUAUGUCUACGGACAAAAACCAUCACUAGAUGUUAAAAAUGUGUAGGUAAAUAUAAUAAAAAUUUUGUCCUACAGACAUUGUGGUCGUCAACUUUGAGGGGACGCAUGUGACACCCUCUAUCCCUCACAUAUAUACUAACAAAGGAAUAAAAAUUCAAAUAUUAAUUAAAAGUAUUUUUUUUGAACAUUUUUAAAUACGGGUCUUUCAAAGGGAUAAAAGGUUCACAAUCACUUUCUUCUACAUCAUAUUCAAACUUGUCCAAAUAAAUAAUAAAGUCAUCGGCUCGAACAAGGUCGUUUGAGACUUCAUACAAUUAAUAUAAAACCCUAUACCCCAAUGUCACAUCCUAUCAGAGCGUUGUGUCUCGACGUCUUUCAGCACAAUAUUCCUUAAAGCAGUUUACCUAGUCAUCUGCUCCCCCGAACACAGAGUUCAAGAUCAUCACAGGAUCCAAACACAAACAACAAACCGGGAGUGAGUUAUCACAUUCCUAACUAAUAGAGAAACAAGACAACUAGAUAUACAUAUCAUAUAAACCAAAUAAAACUUACUUACACGUAAUUCACGUAAUUCCAUCACUUUGUCAUUCAAAAUUCAUUUUUCAUCAAUCAAUCACAUUUUUCAAUCAUCAAUCACAUUACACAGGAAUCACACGCUCUGAUCAAGACAUAAUAACACCUCAAUUUCAUAAUAAACAAUUAGCAAGCGCAUGAGACAGUUAUGCUAAGACUCAAGCCUAUAUGCAAUGUGGUACCAUGUCAGUGAAAAACCACCCUGGGGCGCUUAGGAGUACAUAACAAGACACACCACACAAUGGGUUUGUCAGGUCACUCUCACUAAGUAAGAUCAUAGGGAGACCAGUCAGGGUCAUGAUGUUUUGCGAGAAUGCUUCAACCAUACGGGAUCAGCAUAGGCUUAAAGGAGCACUCAAACUCGGUGACCCCUAAGGCCUACACUCCGAAGAGUCCGUCAGGGCCUCUCCCUCCUGAUUCAGGUCUAACCCCUAAAAUCAUUUUAGCACACAGACACUGCUCGUGAAUUAUACAAUACCAACGACCUCACACUCGUGUUUUAAACACGUACAACAUAUUGCGCUACAAUUUAACACUAGUUCCUAAAUAGGAAACCUACACUUUCUCUUUAACACUGCGCAUUUACACUUUUAUCAAAAUAACACUGGUCGGGUUAUUGUACAAUUCACGGCUUACAACACAAAUAAUGUCACAUCAAGAGUUAAUCACACACUUAUUUACAACCAAAACUCAUUCACAAUUUCACAUCUCAUAAUGUCACAAUCCACCAUCACAUGUUUUCACGUAUCUCACAAUUCAACAUCUGCUCUACUUUACACUUUUACUCAAUCUCAAUAACAAUAUUAUAAUCUCAAGGCAACAUAUUAUUCCACAAUUUAUCACAUAUUUCAUUUAUAAGCACUGCUCAUGAAUUAUACAAUACCUCCGACCUUACACUCGUGUUUCAAACACGUUUAACACAUUGCACUACAAUUUAACACUGGUUCAUAAAUAGGAAACCUACAUUUUCUUUUAAACACUGCGCAUUAACGUUUUUCUCAAGAUAACACUGGUCGGGUUAUUGUAUAAUUCAUAGCUCAUAAUAUAAUUAUUGUCACAUCAAGCGUCAAACACACACUUAUUCACAAUCAAAUAUCAUGCCCACAAUUUAACAUCUCAUAAUAUCACAUCAAUCAUCUCAUUUUUACAUGUAUCUCGCAAAUUGACACAUUCAACUUUGUACUACUCAAUCUUCACUAUAAUAUUAUAAUACCAUUAUAAUAACUUAUUACACCUUAUAACUCAUGCACAUCACACAAUAAUAAUAUUUGCAUGAUACAAAACAUAUAUAUGCAUAUGUAUAUAGUAAAUUAAACUACAUUGUUUUUUUAUCAAAGGAUUUCUAUAACAAUUAAUUUAAUAUUACAUCAAAAGAAAUUACCAUUAGACAUUAACCUUACAAUUUUCUUUAAUUUAUUAUUCUAGUAUUACAAUAAUUAUAUACAUAUAACAUGUUGAUCAUCGUCGAAGAAAAAUUAGAACAAGAUAAUAAUUUAUAUAAAAUAAGUCAUUGAAUAAUAUUAUUUAUAAUAUAAUUUACGUUAAUAAGAAGAGCUUAAUUUUUCGAAGGGGUUCACAUUCAACACAAAAAUACAUCAAUUUCAUAGCAAUUUCUCAUUGGGACAUCAACUGAUUCAUCAAACAUAUAUAAUUCACUGUAAUAAUUAAAAGGAUAAAAUGAAAAUUGCAAAAAUACCCCAAAACUGAUUCCAAUUGAUAUCUCUAAGGAUCCAUACACAUGUUUUCACUAAUCCCCAAUUGUGAAUAACUCAUCCCUUACCUCUGAGCGGACUCACGUGUCUCAGCCAACGAUAGUAACAUCUCUAGCGGUUCCCUGAGAUUCUUUCAGUUAUUCCUCCGACUGCUCCGAUAGAAUUCCCAAACGUCGGAGAGACGGAGAAGAGAUUGAAACCUCCACUUGUACUGUCUUUAUGCGAUUCCUUUUUCUCCCUCCACAAAUGUUAUCUCAAAAAUCCCAACGGUGCAAGUGUGCGCAAUUAAAUUUCGAACAACAUGUCCAAAUUUCAUGAAAAUCCAACGGUUAACGAAAUCGGGAUCGUAGUUUUACCGAGACAGUUUUGGGUUUCUGCAGGAAAUUAAAAUGCUACAAUGCGAAGGGUUUUCCUCUAAGCUCAUAUAUGAUUUUGAAAUUCCCAACGGUGAGAAUGUUCGAAAUUGGGUUGCGAACGUGGUACUCAAAUUUCACGACGAUCCAACGGUGAACGAGUCCGAGAUCGUCGUUUUUCUGAGACAGGUUUGGUGGACUGCAGGAAAAAGAAGAGGUUUUGAGAGGAGAAGGGGAAAAACGAAAAUGAGGCCAAAAAGAGGCACCUGACUUAACAUAACUAUUUAUACCUAAGGUACUCAGCCUAUUAUUUGCUCUAUAUUUAUUUAUUUUAUAAAAACAAACUCUAUUUUAUUUUCUAUCAAACAAAUAAAUGAAAUAUCAUUUUUAGUUUCUCUCAAAUCAUUAUUUUAAUUAAUAAUUAUAUCUCCUUAUUUAUUUAUUUAUAAAAUCUCAUCAUUUUUCUAAAACUCUAUUUAUUUAUAAAUAAAAAUCAUUUUUAAUCUAGAUUACAAAAAUUGGGAUGUUACAGCGCACAGUGAUAGAUUAUCGUCGGUCAGUGUAGGUUUUUACCUACUAAUUUACUUUCACCUACAAUUCACAAUGUGCGUAGCUAAAAGUCAUUAAUUUAUAUCUACAACCGCUGACUGUAGAUAAAAAUAUUAACUUGUACCUACAACUUCCAACUGUAGGUAAAAGUCAUUAACUUAUGCCUACCAUACAUUAAAAGACUAUAGAUAUAAACCAUUUAAUUGUACUAUGCCUACGGACAAAAAUAAAACAUAUAAACCAAGGAACAAGAAAGGUAGAAAGAAAAUAGUGGAUUGCAUACUUUCUGGAAGGUCUCUUCUUAGUUCAUUCAACUCUGCCUUGGCACUCAAUUGUUCAUUCAACUCUUCUUAGUGGAUUGUAUAUAAAUCAUAGAAUACAUAUUAUCAAUGACAUAUGAAUACAAAACUUGUAACCGGUCCAAUUAAGUUGGUACCUGAUAAAUAAUAUAUAUUGAAGUGCGCCUUAACACAGAUUCCUUUAAAGCAUUUAGAAAAAUAUGAACUGGCAUUGGAAUUGCAGGUUGAAUUGAGCCUGCUUAAUGAAGACAAAGAUGUGUCACAGCCUGGUAUGACUUAAAAGCUAGAACAAAGUUUCCAAACUAUGCUACAAUAAGUAAGGAACUAGAAUGUAUGGGAACUAGAAUGUAUGAGAACAGAAAUUAAAGUAUUUGUUAAAUAGCAGAAAUCAGAGGCAUAUGAAAAAAUGAAAAAUAAAAGUUACAUCCUCUAACAAAAGCUAAUACAAUGUUAAAUUACAUAUUAAGAACAUGUAGAAUAAAAUGGUAACACAUAAAUGACCAAAAAAUUUCGACCUGUAUCUAUAAGGUUUUCUCAACUACAAAGUUUAUCUUUAACGUAAUCAAUUAUAAAUUGUAGUUUUGCAUAUUAAAAAUUAUUUUAAUAGUCUACUAAGUAGAAAAGGAGUAAUACAGUAUACAUUUUCCUCGACAAAGCAAUUUCAUUAUUAUGUAGCAAUUUUAAUAAAAAUAUAAAUAUGCCUACAACUACUUCUUUAAAUUUCACCCUCUUUUCCUAGCCAUUGACCAUAUCCUUUAAACCAAGGACAAUAUGAAAACUAACUGAAUUACUAAUAUCAGAGUAGAUAAUAUUAUUUCUAGUGAAAAUCACAUUACACAAGCAUAAAGAUUAUACUGCAGGAGCAUAAAGAAAUUAUCCUCUUGAUCAAAAUGUUGUAAAAUGUAGCAUUGAAUAUAGUCAAAUAAAACCAGCUUUCCGGCCUCCAAAUAUCAAGCAAUUAAAGAAGGGAUUAAGGGGCAUGAAGUAGAAUUUCCAUUUCUUCAAAUAUCAAGCAAUUAAAAUGUUUCCUUUUCUGUUUCUUUAGUUCACGAUCGUCCUAAAAAGUAAAAAAAUCAUUGGGGAAGGGAAAAGGAAAGUAAAGCUCAGCAAGGGUAAAGGAACUAAAGGAUGCAAAGUUGCUACAUAAUAAUGAACGUCUGUCUAUGGGAAAUACUUACUAUCAGCAAAACGAAAAUGUUUUUCUUACCUAUUAAAAUAACCAUGAAAAUGAUAAAUGUUAACUAUGAAAAAAAAAUGUAAUAAAUGCUUUGAACAAUCUUUAAGAAAAACUAAUCAAGGAAUCAUACUUGUAUCCAUUGUUCACCAAGCGCGACUUCACGUCCCAUUAUGGUUGGAGGAGUAACAGCUUCUGAGGCAGAAGACUGAUUAUGUCUCAUUUUUGCAGCUUCGGCACCAGCAGGUCCCACAAGUCCAUUCCAAUAUUAAGACUAGUUGGAGACAUUGAGACAGCGGGAUUUCCAGGCACUGAAGAAUGAGGAAUGGUGCUCACAGAAUUCUUCCGUGCAUUGGCUCCUGAAAAGGUUCACACAAACACAAAAUUGUAUGACAAACCACGAAAAAAGAAAGAUAAUCAUGAAUGAUGUUGCAGCAUACCAUCAACAAGCAUUUGGUCAAAACUCCCUUUCUUGUUUGUAGCUGAUUCCUACAACGAAAUACAACUCAUGAGAUUGCAAGAAACAGAUCAAUCAGGAUAUGAAGGUGCCAGUGGUAUCGACAGUUAAUAUUUAAAAAAAAAUGAUUAGGACUUAAUAGGACUAGAAGAAAGAAAAAAAAAUGUGAAGAGAAAUAGUAACCUGAGUAGAAGAACUAGAAGAUGGUUUAGAAACUUUAGCUGUGCUUUCUUCAUCAGUUCCCAUUCAGAUCAGCUCAGAAAAACUGCCUUGAAAUCAGAUUAAUUUCUGAUAAUUGUUUAGGCCAUAUAUCACCUUCAACAAGUACGCAUGCCAGACAACGUACUGAAUAAAGAAACAUAAAAUUACAUGUCACUAAAAGCAUUCAGUACGUUUUAAGCUAUUUAUUCUCCGGAAAUAUGUAUUGCUAUAAUUAAACAUUUCUUUUACAACCAAACAAAUUAAUAUAAUCAAUGAAGGUCAAAACUGACCCUUCUCUUGAUGAGAUUUGAAUUAAGGAUCUAUAGCAUCUCACUAGCCGGUCCUUUACUCUAGAUAAUACUAAAGCAAUAACUCUUAAUCGGAAAGAUUGACACUCUUGGUCAUAAGAUGAAUAUCCUUACUUCAAACAUGGAAAAACUGGCAGAUUACCUAAACAACAAAACACAUAAAGUUAUCAAGUCUGAUAAUUCAACUUAGUUAUUGCUUGGGAUUGAUGUUUGAUGAUCAAACACAUUUCAACUUUUAUCUACCAGAAACUUAUUGCAAUAAACAAAUAGCAAAGAAAGGAAUUUUUUAACAGAAUGAAUUUUCAAAUAUAAAGUGAGAAGAUGAAGCAUUAUUUUCAAUUCUGGAAACUAAGUUCACUAACUUUUAUUAAUGAUUAAAGCAUUAAAAAUAUAAAAAAAAAAUUACAAAAUCUCAAUGACUUGUAAUAUUGAGCCUCACACGAAGUGGUUAUCCUUUAUAUAUAGUCGUUGAUUAGCAAAUAGACAAGAGAUAGCUUACCCGUAGCUAUAUUUUAUCAUGCAACACAUGGAAUUUUUAGAGUCCGAUUCACAAAAGGAUAAAGUGAAAAGAGACAAGGAGGCAAUGUAUUUAUGUUCAAGAAAAUUUUCUUAUUACAGAUGUAAAUAAAUUAGCCAUCAAUGUGAUGAAUAUAAGUUGUUUAUAAGAUCAUACAGGGGAUAGCGAUGCUGUAUAAGACUCAUCACUGUACCUUACGCCUUUUAAUGAACAUGAACACAGUCGAGAAGUGACUACAGCUUCUGGAAUGCCAAAAGUACUUCCGUGGUCUUGUAAGCUUUCACUACCAGCAGCUUUAGAUUCUGGCUUUUCACAAGUUGAUUUUAAGGCAACAUUCAAGCCAAUUGAGCUAGGUUCCGUCACAAAACUGUAAGCCAUAUGAAAAACAAAACACCAUUUAGGUUUGUAAAAAACUACGUAUGGUACAACUAGUUUUAACUGGAUAAUGUGCAGCAAAAAUUCAUAACAUCUCAGCAAACGUUCAUGAAAUUCUACUUAUUAGAUUGGAUAGAGAUCACUGUGACUCAGAACAAUUGACAAGUUACUAUGAGAAAUUCAGAAUAGGAAAGAGGAUUCAAAUGUUUUCUCAAACCAACAUGGCCUAAUUGUUCCUAAAAAAAUCCUAACAUAGUUUCAUUAGACAAGUUUUCUCAUUCACAUAUUAGAAAGCUUCGUUACAGAGCUCAGCCAUAAACAAUUUGGCUCCAAAAACCCACUAGCCAUAGGUCCACAUUAGAUCGCCACAACAAACCUCAAUCAUAGCAAUCAGGGCUCUGCUUGAUUUGUUUUCAAAACCAUGGUUCAUUACCAAGCAAUGUUCCUCUAAAGUUAAAUCCAUGUUACUUGAAUUUGAACGUAUUACCCAUAUUCUCACUCAGUUAAAUCUGCAAAGUGCAGACAAAAAAACAUUAGUCAGCAGCACAUGAUUGAAAAUAUGAGUAAACAUCAAAUAAGUCUGAUUUAAUUUAGGCUAAUGAAAGUGACCGAUGACCUUCCUAAAAGCAUUGUUUAGCUUAUUUCAUAGUCAAGCUUAAAAAAAAAACUUCGUACCCCAUUGCCCAGAGGCUCUUCGCUAUGCGAAGGUAUGGGGGAGGGAUAUUGUACGCAGCCUUACCCUUGCAUAUGCAAAGAGGCUGUUUCCGGAUUCGAACCCAUGACCAACAAGUCACCAAGGCACAACUUUACCGCUGCACCAGGGCUCGCAUUGUCAAAAUAAUAUUUUUUUUUCAGUAAACUUCACACUCAAGUUUACAAAUAAGCUCUCAUUUUAUAAGAACUUACAGAAUAAAUGCUUAGUUAACUUGUUUACCAAAACAUGCCAAAGUCUCAAUUAAAAAACCUGGAAAGGAAGCUAUAAAGAAUUUAGAAGGUCAGUCACCUGUAAUUUAGUAAAAAGUCAUAUAAAGCAUGUACAUUGUUGUUGCCACUAAAAGCCAGCAAAGAUUCUGGGCUAUUAUCAACAUCAUAGAAUGACCUUAAUCGCCGAGUCUGUGUUAUUUCAAAUAGCAAGCACCAAUUAAAUAUAAAUUAUACAUAGAGAAGAAAAAAAUAACACUGGAAUUAAUUGAUAGACAAACUCACAGAACACCAUAAUACGCACAAAAAGGACAGCCAACUAUUAACAUGAAGUGCAAGACAAUAACUAAUUUGAUUCUAAAUGGAAAGAAAGAAAUUACUAUUUGAUUCUAAAAUUGAAACUGUGCUAUGACUACAUGUGGAUUGGGAGGCAUCAGAAUACAAACUCCAUUUCAAUUUAAAUGAGAAAUGAGCAUAUGCAAUACUACAUGACAAAUAAUAAAGAAGCAACUCAUCACAAACAAUAAGUCUGCAUAGUUUACUCCCAAAUCAUAAUCCUAGGGAAUAUUUUACUUCAAGGCAACCAUUUAUACAUUAUCUUCAAGGCAAAAACACCUUGAGAGCAUGCACCUAGUCAAGCAAAAAGCACAUAUGGCAACCAAUCCUCGGACCAGUAAAAAUGAAAUUAAAUGUCACAACUCACAAAUGUAUAAUAAUAAAAUCAAUAAUGAACUAUGAUAACCGAAACAUCUUCAAUAUAAUCACACAGAUUGAAUGCUAAAUUGAGGUCAAGAGUUUGGUAACUUACCCUAAGUUCUGACGGUGUCUUCUUUCUAGCCAUAGAUCCAGUUUUCAAAGGUCCGGAGCCAAGUUGGUGAGAGCUCGAGGGCACAGAACUUGGUUUAGCCACUUUCGCCAUGCCUCGUUUCGCCGCGCGUACUUUACCAAUCAAAACACGUCAUCGACAAUAAUCUGCAAGUGCAGAUUCCGUAAGCGAGAAAGGAUUUACAGUAGAAUUCACAAAUUGCACAAUUAGAGAACACGAUAAGUGUGCUACUAAUUAUGAGCGCAAGGGAAUGUAGAUUAACGGCUUAUGUUUUGAAAAUUAGAAUAGAAUAAAUGCGAAUCGGAAGCAGGAGGGAAAGAGAAGAGACCGAAUCGUGUCGUGGAAGAUUCAAUGGCGAGCGGUGUCGUAUCGGUUUUCGGCGCAGCAGAGGGAGAGGGAAGAGAGCGAAAAUGGGAGCGGGCCCCCCUUCUCCGGCCUCCGCCGUGCCACCAACUCCUUCUACACGCGAUAAAACUAAUGUUUUGUUGAUAUUAAUUCUUUAAUUAAUAAAUUUUUAAGAAUAUUUUUAUUAAAAUAAGAAAUAAAUAUAUAAUUAUUUUAAUAAAAAAUCAUCAUUCUGAUUACAUAUAAAAUUAUUCUUGAAAACUUAUGUUAACGUUCUAUUAAAUUAGAGUGUAUUCUUGAUUAAAUGGUCAAGCUGAGUUGGUGAAAUAUGUUAAGGAGAUUGUUGUAAAUUAAUUGUUACUUGAGUUGGAUUCUAAUGAGUAUAAAAAAAAUCAUUUUAUGUAUAUUUACGAUUCCAUCGAAAAAUUAAUCGAAAUUAUUUUGUACCAAUAUCUUUUUCUUUUGCUGAAUUUUCCCGUGUGAAUUUUUUCCAAUUUGCACCAAUAUCAUCAGAAGAAGAAAAAAGUCAUUUCUUUUAAUUUUUAUAUAAAAUAAAAAUUAAAGAUUAAAAAAACGUAAUCUAUAUAAUCUUUAAUUUAAGUGCCUGCUUUUGCGCAUAACUCCUACAUGGAGAAUGUUACUGUUAAUGAUUCUUCAAUGAAUAAUUUGAUUAAUUUCUAAUCUGUAUCUAGGGCGCGUUGCCCAACCCUAUCAGAAAAAUAAACACUUUAAUUUGAAACUUUACUUUUUUUAAUGAUAUAAAUCUUUAAGAAACAACUGGUUCCGAUAUAUUUUCUUACAUAACAAAUAUUAUUUUAAAAAUUGAAAAAUUAUCAUUAUAAUAUAUUUAUUUUCCUUUUUAUUACAUUUUUUAUUUUUUCAUUCUUAUUCUAUUAAUAUUUAUUAUUUUCAUUUAUAUGUAUUUUAAUUUAUUAUUAUUUUUUUACUGUUAUCUCUAUUUUAUAAUCAUUCGUACACGGUACACCCAAAAAUUACCAUAGUAAUUUUUCUUUUAUCAAGAUGCAGGUACUGUGUACACCCAAAAAAAAUAUGCAUUAUUGUACCUUUUAUAUCGAUUUGCAUUAUUGUACCUUUUAUCGAUUUGCAUUAUUGUACUGGUUCCGAUUCAUUUUUUUACGCAAUAUAAUUUUUCUUACAUAACAAAUAUUAUUUUAAAAAUUGAAAAAUUAUCAUUAUAAUAUAUUUAUUUUCCUUUUUAUUACAUUUUUUAUUUUUUCAUUCUUAUUCUAUUAAUAUUUAUUAUUUUCAUUUAUAUUUAUUUUAAUUUAUUAUUAUUUUUACUGUUAUCUCUAUUUUAUUAUCGCUCGCACACGGUACACCCAAAAAUAGGAUAAGAGUACCAUAAUUGGUAAUGGAGUGGAGCGGAGUGAAGUGGGUACUGUCUUCGCGAAUCUUUCACCCCGACUUUUUAACAUGUCUUCAUAAUCUGAUAUAAUAAGAUGGAUUAAAAUUUAUUAUUUCAUUUAUCCCCGACCCUGUCAUGUAUUCUAUUUAAAUUAGAAAAUUAUUUUUUUUAAAGAAAAUAUUAAAAAUUUGAUUUUAAAAAAAAUAAUUUGAUUGUUAAACAUUUAUUUUUAAUUAUUUAUAUGUCAAUAAAUUUACUAUAGCGCAUGUGCCUACAAAAAUCGUUAAAAAAAAUAUUAAAUUAUGUAAAAAAUUUAAAAUAAAAUUAACUAGUAAUAAAAAUUCUAGAUCUUUUGAUUAAAUUAUGCAAAAAUAUUAAAUAGUAGGACAGAUCUAGAUUCGGGAUUGGGGCGAAUAUAAUAAAUUCAUACCCAAUUCAUACCUAACUUUUGAUUAUAAAAAAACCUAAACUCAAAUCCAUAUUCGAUUAACUUAAAUAUUAUCCAUCAAAAUCGGAAUCAAACCAACAAGUACUAGUUUUUUUUGUCAUGUCAAUUAGUAGUUUUCCUUUUAAUAUUAGUAUGCAUUAUUGUACCUUUUAUCGAAAUGUAUUAUUAUAUUGAACCUUUUAUCAUAUCAAAGAUCUAGACAAAAUAAGUUACUCCAACUUGUCGGUUGAUGAUAACAUCAAUAUGCAUUAUUGCACUAUGAUUGAUUAUGUUUUUGUUAUUUUUUUUAGUAAAUAAUUAAAUUAGUCCUUAAGAUUGUCAUAUUAAUCAGUUCCAAAAAUAAAGUGAAACUCAAAUGAGUCUCAUAUUUUUUAAGAUAUUAGCUACAUCUCGAUUAUAAAAAAAAACAUAAUUUAUAUUUAUUAAAGAAAUUAGUUAAUUUUAUUAAAUUGAGUUAUUUUUAAUUAUUUUUUAAAUUACUUUUUAUUUAAACUUGAUAUUAACUAUAAAAAAUCUUUGAUUUUAUUAAAUGAAAAUUAUUUUAAAAAUAAUUUUAUUAAGUAAGAUUUUAAUAAUUAAAAUUUAUUUAUAUUAUAGAAAAAAAUAAGAAAAUUUUGUUGUUUAUAUUUGAGAUUUUGAGGGUGUAAGUCUCCAAAAAGUUCUUAUUUUUUGUUUUGGAUUCAUGUGAUAUUACUAUACUUAAAUUCGUAUAAAUUACGAAGUAAAAAUGAAGGCUAUAUUCGUAAAUACAAACUAUGAGUUGGUCUAUAAAUAACGUUCAAGUCCCUCUUCUUCGUCACACAGCUAUUCCUCUUAAGCUUGCUACUGAGUUUCCACACUGCAUACCUUAGGUUCAGUCUCUGACUAGCUUUUAAUUUUUCUCUUUACGAGUUUAUUAAUUAUUGUUGUUGUGAUUCAAAUAUCAUAAACCUCCACUCAAUUAAUAUUUUAAUUUUCACUUACCCUAAACACUUCAUCUCACUGUAAACCUUAUAUAAUUUACCCAAUUAAUAUUCAAGUUAAUUUUCAGUUUUAACUUACCUUAUACAAGCACUUGAUCUCAUUCUUUAGAUUCUCUUUGCAUCUGACUAGCCCUAUUUUGUGCCACUCUAGCUUGUUUCUAAUAUUCUUGGAGGUGUUGUAUUGUACAAAUUAAUUUUGCAUGCAGUAUAUGUAUAUAUAUUUCAUAUUUUUUUCUGAUUAUAUUAAUUUAUUUUGGACAGGUCUUCCGAAUUCGAAGUUAAUUUGCAAGAUGGCUAAGGAAAAGGCUCAGAUCAACAUUGUGGUGGUUGGUCAUGUGGACCCUGAGGAGGCAACCACCAUUAACGAGCUGAAGAAGCCUGUUGUGGAGAAAGAAGCUCCAGGGCAUGCCAUAUGAGGGCAUGCACGUACGGCCUCGGAGGGGAACCAGAAAAUUAUGUUAACAAAAUAAUCUGGAACCCUAAUGUAUCAGUGUCAUCAUCAGUGUGUAGUUUAAGCUAGCUUUGCUAUGGUUACGUUCUUUGAGAUGAGAGUCUUGAUGAACAGUACCAUUCUGAUGUAUUGCUUUCCUUGAAAGUUAAUGCAUGCUUCUUAUCUUCUGUCUAGCUAUAUGCUUUCUUUCUUUCUUCUUUUUUAUUUUGUUAACUAGAACAUUUGCAACUUCACUCCUUAGUAUAUAAUAGUUAUCCAUACAAAAAGAAAUAUUAUUUAAGGACAUACUGAAACAUAAAUAUUACACUUUUUAUCAUCCAUUAAAAAAAAUUGAACGAGGAGGGUUAAAAAUAUAUUUUUUAACAUAUUUUUUUAAUAUAUUCUUUGUUAUUGAUUGAAUUUAAAAAAAUAUAUAAAAUUAGCUAGAGAGAAAAUUAUUAAAUAAAAUAUAACAUUAAAAAAUAUAUAAUAUUUAAUAAAUUUUAAUCAAUUAAAAAGAAUAUUUCUCCAGACUUGGAUGCAUUAUUAAUAUUCAAGUUAAUUUUCACUCAUUUGUGACGCAUUACUGACUCUUUAAUUAGGGUAGAUUCAUCUUACUGUCUAGGAACAAACUGAUUUUUGAAUAUUAUCAAUUUUCUCUAGUAGAGGUUAUUAGCAAGAUUAAGUUUCUUUUAUAUAGACAAGUACACCUGUUACAUUUGUUUUAAUAUUUUGAUAUAGAUACAUUUGUUUUAGUAUUUUGAUAUAGAUCUUCUUGUAUUAGAAAGAUUUUUUAUUUUUUCUAGUUAAAAGGUAUAUCCCAUUUAUUAUUGUAUUAUUUUAAAUUUAAUAUAAUUUACAUUUAAAAAAAAAAAUGGGCGUGUGGGUAAGAUUUUGUAUAGAUUGGUUCACUACUACAUGAUUAAUAUUCCUUCCAUUAACGGAAAUAAAAGAAAGUACUAUAUGUAUAUGUGGGUCCUUUACAAUUUAUCGGUUUUGGGACCGAAAACAACAUAAAGAGUGCCUUUAAAUAAAUCCAAAAUUACUCGUCAUUCAGUAAGUCUCAAUAGUUUUAUAACUUAGACAUAUGCACACACGUGAAGCCCAAAGUGUCACAUUCUCCUUUGCCUUAUUGUCAUAUCCUCCUACACGCAAACAUAGACUAUUCUUCACAUUGUCGUCUUCUCUUCUCGUGGUGUCUUCCUUCAGAUGGUGUUAGACGAACGAAGGGAAUGGGAAUAGCCUCGGAAUUAAAAUUUUAAUAGAAGUCACAUAAAUACCACAUCAUCUAUAAAAAAAAAUUUCAAAAUAUAUUCUAAUUUAACUGUUGUUUCUGACUUAUAUAUUAUAAUUUUAAUUUAUUGUUAACCGAUGUAACACUUACAUUUUUCCAACAAUAUAUAUAUAUAUAUAUAUAUAUAUAUAUAUAUAUAUAUAUAUAUCAUUAAAAAAAUCAGUAACUUUUGGUUUCUAGAAAAGCUAGUAGAAGUGAAUUUUUUAAAAUAGAAAAAUGGAAUUUUUAGGAAUUUAGAGUAUACAAUUUUAAUUUAUUGAAAAAUUCAAUUUUAGAAAUUAAGAUUUUUAAGGGUAAUAAAACUUUAGUAAAUUGAAUAGUAGGAAUCUAAAGUAUGAAAAAAGUAGACGACUGAAGCAAUUAGCCCUUAGAUAUGUUACCGCGUGAUGGCAAUUCAAGUCCAUUUGCAUGACAUUAAACUUUCUCAAUUGUUAAAAUAUUUCAUUCCUAUUACCCAAAAAAAAAUUAUUUCAUUCCAAUCAAAUUAUGGUGUUCUAGCGUAACACAAUUUUAAACAUAUCUAAGCAAUUUUUUUAUAUAUAUAAUUAUGUUCUCGAUACAGAAUUUUCAUCAAUUUCACUUUUAAAAGAAUUUAUUUUUUAAAACAAUUUUUAUAUAUAAUUAAUUUUCUUCAAAAAAUUUGAUUAGUAAUUUUUAAUAGAAAUUUUCCUUUCAAAUAAGUUUUUUUUUCUUCUUUCAUUCAAGCAGUUGAUUUUGAAAUAUACUAUAUCCUAAUUAUUACUUUAAGAAUCUUGAGCAACUUAACUCAGCUAGAUGGCCAACUAAUUAACAAUUGUAGAUCAUUUAUGAUUUAUGAUGCUGGCAGCUUCUUCAUGUAACACGAAUAUAAGAAUUGCAUGUAGAUGGAAGCACUUGGCAGCUAGUAUUUUAUAACAUAUAUAUGCUUACCUCUUCUCUGUUAUUAGUGGUUGCACCACCGCUAGUCCUCCAUAAGACACACACCAUUCCGUGACCCCAUUUUUUGGUCCCUGUCUUAGGCACAACCAGACACCUGCCCCCUUCUAUUAAAUGGGGCAUUUCUUAAUUGCAGUCUCACUUAUAUGACAUAUGUCUCUUGGUGAGCAUCUUGAUUAGACUCAAUUAAUUAAUUGUCUCUCUUGUCAUCUAUUCCUUAUUCUAUAAGGAUAUUGCUUAGUCUUUUGGGUUAUAGUGAAAUCUUAAAAACCAAUACUUGACGGUUAAUGUUCUUAGAAGAUUGAAGCUCACCCGUAUGAACUUACUCAUUUGAUGUAACUUUUAUGCUUUGUUUACAUAAGAAGUGAAACAGAGAGGAAUGAAAUAAUUAAGAAGAAAAAAAAUUGGAGUGAUAAAAAUAAAAGAGAAAUGAAGUGAUAAAAAUUGGAAUGAAAUAAAAGUGUUGUUUGAAUAGAUAAAAAAUAAGAAAAAGUGAAGCAUUGUUUUUCAGAAUAAUGUUUAAAUGCUACCAAGUGGGACAAAUAAAAAGUUUAGACAUCAACUUCCUGCAAGCUAGAAGAUUAUUAACAUAGUAGUUCAAUUUCUUCAUUAUCAAAAGGUUUACAAUAAUUUACACAUUAUUUAUAAUAAUAGUUCAUCUAAGGAAAGGAAUUGGAACUGGUAAUUGAACCCUUAGGUUCCUCAACUCCAACAGAAAAAGACUCUGAGGACAGAGCAAGAAGAGGUGAUUGGUUUUCCCAAGCAGAAGAGGUAAAUUAGAAGUUAGAAGCAUGACUGCAUGAGGCGAAAAGAACGAGAGAAGAUUCUGAUGAAAAAGAGGAUAAAAUGUCCGAAUUAAACAAUUAGAGUGCAUUGAUUAAAUCAACAUGUACAGCUUCAUUUUUCCAUGACUAAUCACUGAUUAUAGCUUAUUCAGCUUCCAAACCGCUAUCCAAUUUCCACAUUAAUAUAAUCCAUAAUUCGGGACAGGAACAGUUCAAAGUCAACACUCAACAGAGUACAGGAUCUGAAAUUCCCGAGCAGCAACAAAAUAAUCAAGCACUCCUAUAUAAAAUAUUCAUAUAUCUUCGUGCAUCAAUUUAAAUUUUUUGGAAUUAUUAUUUUGUGACUUGCUCACAAAUCCUCUAUUACUAAGUUAUGUAGAGAUCAUCUUUCAUUUACAGCUUGCAUUAUUCACUACUGCACUCUUUAGUCUUUAAGCCCAAAACAAUCAGCAAAAAAAGUCUUUAAUGCAACUAUUUGGCAUAGGGUCAGCACAAGGAUAAGGCGACCCAAGCUCUUGUUUUAGUAUAUGUAUUUAAGCAUAUGCCCGAUCAAGGGUCACGGUCCAAUGGUAACGUGCUAUGUGUGAGAUCCUUUGUUUAAUCCUACAUGUGCGCGGAAUCCCUUCGUCUAAUAAAUGAUUUUGAGUCCAAAAAAUAAUCUUAAAUAAAAUAUGAAUAAUUUUAUUAAAUAUUUUAUUAGUUUAGAAAUAACUCCAUUCUGAAACUCGUUUUAGGCCUUCCAAUAUGUUGGAUCAGCCUGAUGUGCAUCAGGCAUUACAUCAAUAUCAGCUAAUUGCAACUCUGUUUCUGAGUAAUACAACAGCAUUUUCACAUUAAAAUAAAAAAUAAAAAAACUGCAACUAUUUUGGGUGUCUCAAAAUUCAUGAACUAGAUAUUUCUACAACAUUUUGUUUCCAUAAUCUCUUAGGCAGAACAUGUGUAUUUCCUACUGCUAUUUGAAGCAUUUAGCUUCAAAAAAAACAUUAGCGGAUGUUCCAUUACAAUAUGGAUGCUUGAAAGAGACUUUAGUGACUGCAAAUAUUUCGAGCGUAUCUGUGUGCUAGCUGCAAAAUUUCGGAAUUUGGAUCAUCACUAUAGAAAUGGUGCUAUUGAACUGUCUCAUUCAAUUAUAAUGAUGGCUGAAUGGCUUAUGCUUUUAAAAUAAAAAAUCUCAUUUAUUGUUUGGUUCAUUAACAAUCUCUUUUUUUUUGUACAGGAAGGAAAAAUUAAGAGACAAGGUCAGCCCAGAUUGCCUAAGUCAAACAGAAAAAAAUCUAAAACAAAAAGCAGGAACAACUAUAAACUCAUAAUUAAUCGACUUAUUGAAUUAUCAGCCAAUCAAAUUAUGAGUAACAUAUGAAUUUAUUGUUUUUUUACCUACAAGGAAGCCCAAGAAGCCAAAAAUAAAAAUCUAAUAUCAACAUGAGGUGACAUGAUUAUUAACCUUAUCUCUUAAUAUGUGAUCAGAAAUUUGAUUGAGCAUAUUAAAAAAUAUAUGUAUAGAGAAGUUAUCCCAGCCAAGCGUAACCUAAGACAGCAAACUGCCACACAUGUCAGACAGUUAUAAAGAGACAUAUGUAUAAGAAACUAGCCCAUGUGGGAGUUAUCUAAAGAGUGUUGCAAUGGUUUACUUGAAUCUACUCCUACAAAUAAUAUUGAGAAAGACGUGAAACUGAAAUUCCAAAGUGCAUUUAACUUUGUCCUUGCUCAAGAUACACAUCAUUGAUGAGAUAGAAAAAUAUGUACAAUAUAUAAUCUCAGAUUCAAACACAACCAAUUAAUGAUGAACUUUUGGAUUUUCAGGCUUGGUAUAUCUUCCAAUGGUUGAUUGGGAGACAAUUAAUUCCAAUCUUCUCCAACUAGAUUUACACCAGAAGUAGUAGUCAAGUUAACUCUGUUAAAAAGGCUAAAUUGAAGCACAAGAAACAUAGGUAUUGGGAAAUGCCCCAUUGAAGCCGGCCACUAGCAUUCCAGAUUCGACUACAUGCCUACAUCUUUAACUUCUUUUGAUAACUUGUUUGUGAUUAUUCAUAAAAUGUAUCCUUUGGUGUCUUGCCACUAUAGUUUCUCGUUGUCCUUAGGACCUUAAUUCAGGAGGAACUCUCUCUUCACUUCGUAUAUGUCACGUCAAUGGCGGUAUCCAAAUACUGGGCUUCAAGAUAAAUCAUAACCCCUUAUAUAUUUCUUUUAGUUCCUUCUGCACUCCUAUCUUCUAUGUGUAUUUGAUUCUGUUUCUCAGGGCUAAACAAAAGGUUGACUGAAUAUAUAAGGAUAUAUAGGAAUUUGACAAUAUCUUUUUUAAUGUAAACUUCAAUGAAUAGCCCCUAUCAAAGGUACUAUAGUAUUAUCAUAAUUAUUAUAAUUUCUAUAUUUAGUAGUUAUUAUAUUUUCAUGUGUCCGCUACUUGGUCUAAUAUUACAGGGAUAUGAUUCAAUUCUAGCUGAAAUUCCUGAUUCACAAAAAUUAUGUUGUUCUUCCUUCUCAUAAAGUAUGUAGCUAGAUGUGCCCAAAGGGACCGGUUUUUUCACUGAUUACAACACAAUUUUAUCACAAUUAUACAAGUGUAACACUAAUGUACAAUCUGAAAGUUUAUCAGAUUGUAUAGUAGUGGUAAACUUGAAAAGUGAUUAGAAUUUAGCUUCAUUGAUGAGUAUUUGAAGUCUGAAAAAAUUUUAAUUUGAGUUUUCAGGUGAAGGCAUUCAUAGGAUUGCUUGUAAUAUACAGAACUUGUGAGUACUUGACAGAGGAAGUGAUUUACAUACACCAAUAUACUUGUCCCUUGUCCUUCAAAUGAAUCAUAUAGGACGAUCUAAGUUACAUUACAUACAAUGAUCUUUAAUCUUUAUCAAAAUAUGAUUGUCUUAUACUUUAUCUGUUAUCAUUAGUACUAAAGGAUGAAUCGUUUUAGACUUGAUAUUAUUUUUUAAAAAUGCAACUAAAUAUAGUAACCGAGUUAGUAGCUAUAUUUAUUGGUCUAUAAUGUAGUCUGUCCAAAAAGAAGUUACCAAGAUGUUAACAAUGACUUUUAUCUCAAAAAAAAUAAAUGACUUAUUGGAUGCUAUUAGAAACUGGUGUUUAAAUUCAGUUGCUAAACAUGUUACCGACUGAAAUUAUUGCAACUCUCGGAAGUUCAAUCAGUAAGCCGAUUAUCUACCAAAUUUAAAUUCGUAGUAAUAAAACAUUUCAGUAGCUAAAUGAUUUUUUUUUCUUAAAUGCAAUUUUGUUCUUUCCAUUUUUAAAAAACAUGUAAUUUUUAUUUUUCUAUUUUAGAAUAGACAUUUAAUUAUCUGGUUUUAUAAUCCAUAAUUUUGAUUAUUCUAUCAAAUUCAAAAAACAUUGAUGGGUAAAAAAUAUUAACUUGAUAUGAUCUUAAUGUGACAUAAAAUAAUUUGUUUCUCUCCUAGUAUUUAACAUUUUUAGUUUGAAAGAAGGAUAAAUAUCAUAGAUUUUAUAAAAGUAUGGGAUUAAAUAUCUUUAUUUUAAAAUAGAAAAUUAAAAAUGUGAAUUUUAAAUAUUAGAGAGAUUAAAUGUGUUUAUUUUAAAAUAGGAAAUUAAAAUUAUAAAUUUUAAAAAAGAGAGGAAACAAAAUUGUAUUUAAACUUUUUUUAAAUGGGUGUUGCUCAAAAGAGUCCCCGUAAUAUAUUUUCUCCACAAAUAGACAUGCAAACAGUGAUAAUGAAUCCUGCAAAUGGGAAUUAAUUAAAAGAAAAAGUGAUUGUUGCCAUAAAGCGAAUGAAAUUCAUUUGACGAAGCCUAUGGACCCAGAUGUAAAGUACUAAGAGCGAAGCUAGUAUAAUGUAAAGAGGAAAAAGACAUGCCAGAAUUGUGUGAAACUAGGAAUGGUAUAUUAUCUAUUUUAUAGUAACCAGGUAAGUUGAAAAGGAAAUGAUUUCAUUUACACCUAGAAACUACUCUCUAGUCUAUAUAUAAUGGCUUUAACAACAUUAAAAAACAUUAUUAAAAAAAAAAAGAAAAAGACGAAGGCGGUUUUGCAAAUGCACGUGUAUAUGUUGAGAACCAUAAAACCAAGAUCAGAACAUAGAUUUGGUUGGCAAUAACAUAUAGUGGGGGAGUAAGUGGGAAGUUAUAUGGCUAAAAAUUAUCCAUGGUCUUUAUAACAUUGAAAACUGGCUUUUCCUGACUUAGUAGUUAUAUAUGAUGAAAGUGAUUGCCAUGAUCGCUAAGAUUUUGGAAUAACAAUGAUGCUUUGUUUUUGCGCCAAAUCAAUUUGUCUUUUACAUUAUAGUAUAGGGAAAUGUCAAACAUGCUUUACAUAUGCAUCAUCGUCCCAGAUAGUGUGGUUUCUAAAAGGCACUUUGAUGAAC
rnacentral:lncRNA from 1 species